GAUGAACGCUGGCGGCGUGCUUAAUACAUGCAAGUCGAACGAGGUUACUUAUUACGAUCCCUUCGGGGUGACGAUUUUUAACCGAGUGGCGGACGGGUGAGUAACGCGUGGGCAACCUGCCCCAUACAGGGGGAUAACAGUUGGAAACGACUGACAGUACCGCAUAAGCGCACGAUCUCGCAUGGGAUUGUGUGAAAAACUCCGGUGGUAUGGGAUGGGCCCGCGUCUGAUUAGCUAGUUGGUGAGGUAACGGCCCACCAAGGCGACGAUCAGUAGCCGACCUGAGAGGGUGACCGGCCACAUUGGGACUGAGACACGGCCCAA
rnacentral:rRNA from 1 species